rnacentral:rRNA from 1 species
GACGAACGCUGGCGGCGUGCUUAACACAUGCAAGUCGAACGAGAGGACAAGAGAAGCUUGCUUCUUUUGGAAUCGAGUGGCAAACGGGUGAGUAACACGUAAACAACCUGCCUUCAGGAUGGGGACAACAGACGGAAACGACUGCUAAUACCGAAUACGCUUGGGAGACCGCAUGAUCUACCAAGGAAAGGGUGGCCUCUACCUGUAAGCUAUCGCCUGAAGAGGGGUUUGCGUCUGAUUAGGCAGUUGGUGAGGUAACGGCCCACCAAACCUACGAUCAGUAGCCGGUCUGAGAGGAUGAACGGCCACACUGGAACUGAGACACGGUCCAGACUCCUACGGGAGGCAGCAGUGGGGAAUAUUGCACAAUGGGGGAAACCCUGAUGCAGCGACGCCGCGUGAGUGAAGAAGUAUUUCGGUAUGUAAAGCUCUAUCAGCAGGGAAGAAAGUGACGGUACCUGAAUAAGAANCCCGGCUAACUACGUGCCAGCAGCCGCGG